ACCGGGGGAACUGAAACAUCUAAGUACCCCGAGGAAAAGAAAUCAACCGAGAUUCCCCCAGUAGCGGCGAGCGAACGGGGAGCAGCCCAGAGUCUGAAUCAGCUUGUGUGUUAGUGGAACGGUCUGGAAAGUCCGACGGUACAGGGUGAUAGUCCCGUACACCAAAAUGCACAGGUUGUGAACUCGAAGAGUAGGGCGGGACACGUGGUAUCCUGUCUGAAUAUGGGGGGACCAUCCUCCAAGGCUAAAUACUCCUGACUGACCGAUAGUGAACCAGUACCGUGAGGGAAAGGCGAAAAGAACCCCGGCGAGGGGAGUGAAAAAGAACCUGAAACCGUGUACGUACAAGCAGUGGGAGCACCUUCGGGUGUGACUGCGUACCUUUUGUAUAAUGGGUCAGCGACUUAUAUUCUGUAGCAAGGUUAACCGUAUAGGGGAGCCGCAGGGAAACCGAGUCUUAACUGGGCGUUAAGUUGCAGGGUAUAGACCCGAAACCCGGUGAUCUAGCCAUGGGCAGGUUGAAGGUUGGGUAACACUAACUGGAGGACCGAACCGACUAAUGUUGAAAAAUUAGCGGAUGACUUGUGGCUGGGGGUGAAAGGCCAAUCAAACCGGGAGAUAGCUGGUUCUCCCCGAAAGCU
rnacentral:rRNA from 1 species